rnacentral:rRNA from 1 species
AAUACGAAGGGACCUAGCGUAGUUCGGAAUUACUGGGCUUAAAGAGUUCGUAGGUGGUUGAAAAAGUUGGUGGUGAAAUCCCAGAGCUUAACUCUGGAACUGCCAUCAAAACUUUUCAGCUAGAGUAUGAUAGAGGAAAGCAGAAUUUCUAGUGUAGAGGUGAAAUUCGUAGAUAUUAGAAAGAAUACCAAUUGCGAAGGCAGCUUUCUGGAUCAUUACUGACACUGAGGAACGAAAGCAUGGGUAGCGAAGAGGAUUAGAUACCCUCGUAGUCCAUGCCGUAAACGAUGUGUGUUAGACGUUGGAAAUUUAUUUUCAGUGUCGCAGCGAAAGCGAUAAACACACCGCCUGGGGAGUACGACCGCAAGGUUAAAACUCAAAUGAAUUGACGGGGACCCGCACAAGUAGUGGAGCAUGUGGUUUAAUUCGAAGAUACGCGCAGAACCUUACCAACACUUGACAUGUUCGUCGCGACUUUAAGAGAUUAAAGUUUUCGGUUCGGCCGGACGAAACACAGGUGCUGCAUGGCUGUCGUCAGCUCGUGUCGUGAGAUGUUGGGUUAAGUCCCGCAACGAGCGCAACCCUCACUUUUAGUUGCCAUCAUUAAGUUGGGCACUCUGAAAGAACUGCCAGUGAUAAGCUGGAGGAAGGUGGGGAUGACGUCAAGUCCUCAUGGCCCUUACGUGUUGGGCUACACACGUGCUACAAUGGUAUCUACAACAGGAAGCAAAACCGCGAGGUUAAGCAAAUCCUUAAAAGAUACCUCAGUUCGGAUUGCACUCUGCAACUCGAGUGCAUGAAGCUGGAAUUACUAGUAAUCGUGGAUCAGCGUGCCACGGUGAAUGCGUUCCCGGGUCUUGUACACACCGCCCGUCACACCAUGGGAGUUGGUUCUACCUUAAGGCAAGGUUUUAAACCCUUGACCACGGUAUAGUCAGC